rnacentral:rRNA from 1 species
UGCCAGCCGCCGCGGUAAUACGGAGGGGGCUAGCGUUGUUCGGAAUUACUGGGCGUAAAGCGCACGUAGGCGGAUCAGAAAGUUAGGGGUGAAAUCCCGGGGCUCAACCCCGGAACUGCCUUUGAUACUGUUAGUCUAGAGUUCGAGAGAGGUGAGUGGAAUUCCGAGUGUAGAGGUGAAAUUCGUAGAUAUUCGGAGGAACACCAGUGGCGAAGGCGGCUCACUGGCUCGAUACUGACGCUGAGGUGCGAAAGCGUGGGGAGCAAACAGGAUUAGAUA